rnacentral:rRNA from 1 species
UACGGAGGGGGCUAGCGUUGUUCGGAAUUACUGGGCGUAAAGCGCACGUAGGCGGCUUUGUAAGUUAGAGGUGAAAGCCCGGGGCUCAACUCCGGAAUAGCCUUUAAGACUGCAUCGCUAGAAUUGUGGAGAAGUAAGUGGAAUUCCGAGUGUAGAGGUGAAAUUCGUAGAUAUUCGGAAGAACACCAGUGGCGAAGGCGACUUACUGGACACAUAUUGACGCUGAGGUGCGAAAGCGUGGGGAGCAAACAGG